AUUGAACGCUGGCGGCAUGCCUAACACAUGCAAGUCGAACGGGGCAGCAAUGCCUAGUGGCGGACGGGUGAGGAAUACGUAGGAAUCUGCCCUUAAGUGGGGGAUAACCAGGGGAAACCCUGACUAAUACCGCAUGAUCUCUUCGGAGCAAAGAGGGGGACCGCAAGGCCUCUCGCUUCUGGAUGAGUCUACGUCUGAUUAGCUAGUUGUGAGGGUAAAGGCCUACCAAGGCGACGAUCAGUAACUGGUCUGAGAGGAUGAUCAGUCACACCGGAACUGAGACACGGUCCGGACUCCUACGGGAGGCAGCAGUGGGGAAUAUUGGACAAUGGGCGCAAGCCUGAUCCAGCAAUGCCGCGUGUGUGAAGAAGGCCUUCGGGUUGUAAAGCACUUUAGCCUGGAAAGAAAAAACUUUGGUUAACACCCAAAGUCUUGACGGUACCAGGAGAAUAAGCACCGGCUAACUCUGUGCCAGCAGCCGCUGUAAAAC
rnacentral:rRNA from 1 species